UUGUAUUUGUGUGUGUGUGUGUGUGUGUGUGUAAGGGUAAAUCGAAAAUAUACGGAACGAUGAAUGAAACUCCUGACUGACGUCGGACUAUCUGGCGCGCCAACGCGACAUCAAACACAACACGCGAACGGAUAGAACGUCGUUGAAGCGUCAACGUACUUGCCGCUUCGUCGAACACAUUGCUGGACCGAGAUAUGAGAUGCUGAAUCGACGACACCGACGACGAGGACGACGACGACGACGACGACGACGACGACGACGACGACGAUGAUGAAGAUGAAGAUAAAGAUGAUACUUUACGCAUCUAUGACUAUAGAAGAAGGAAUAAAAAUAGUACAAUAUUUAUUCAAUGAAUAAGAGAAAGACAGAGAAAGAGAGAAAACAUCGUGUCCAAAAGAGAAGGAGGAAAAGGAGUAGAAAGACGAGGAAAGGAGGAAGAGGAGGAAGAAGAGGAGGAGGAGGAGAAGGAAGAAGGAGUUUAGACCGCGACCGACACCGUUGCCAGACGCAUCCGCAUCCGAAAGGUUACGUCCGAAUCUCGAAAUAGAGGAACGCUCGGCAAAAAUAGUUUCCCGCGUCUUCGAUAUAUCGUCAUCGCGAAAUAGACUCGAGCCGGGACCGGAAGGCAGUGAAAACAACCAAAACGAUCCUUCAUAUAUACAUACAUACAUACAUACAUAUAUAACAUAACAUAACAUAACAUAUGCGAAAAGACGACAGUGAUUGAAUAAUUUUGAAUACAUAAAAUUAGAAAGAACGAUCGGAAUUACGAAAUGACAUCAAUGCUCAUUUUUCAAUAGCAUUCUUUAAUUAAACCGGUUCUUUAAAUAGACGACUCGUAAAUGAUUACUAUACGUAAGUAAAACAAAAAACAAAAGAAAAAAUAAAAUUAAUAAAAAAAAAAAA